AACUUAAGCAAAAAUAAUGUGGCUGGACACAUUCCUGCUGAAUUUGGGAACUUAAGGAGCAUCAUGGAGAUUGAUUUGUCUUACAACCACCUCAGUGGCCUGAUUCCUCAAGAGGUUGGGAUGCUACAAAAUUUGAUACUGUUAAAAUUAGAAAGCAAUAAUAUUACUGGAGAUGUCUCUUCACUUAUUUACUGCUUCAGUCUCAAUAU